rnacentral:rRNA from 1 species
CCUAGUUGAUCCUGCCAGUAGUCAUAUGAUUGUCUCAAAUAUUAAGCCAUGCAUGUGUAAGUAUGAACAAAUUCAGACUGUGAAACUGCGAAUGACUCACUAAAUCAGUUAUAAUUUAUUUGAUGGUAUCUACUACUCGGAUAACCGUAGUAAUUCUAGAACUAAUACGUGCAACAAACCCCAACUUCUGUAAGGGAUGUGUUUAUUAGAUAAAAUGUCGACAAGGGCUCUGCCCGUUGCUGCGAUGAUUCAUGACAAUGCGACGGAUCACACGACCAUCGUGUCGGCGACGCAUCAUUCAAAUUUUUGCCCUAUCAACUUUUGAUGGUAGGAUAGUGGCCUACCAUGGUGGUGAUGGGUAACGGAGAAAUAGGGUUCGAUUCCAGAGAGGGAGCCUGAGAAACGGCUACCAUAUCCAAGGAAGACAGCAUGCGUGCAAAUUACUCAAUCCUGACACGGGGAGGUAGUGACACUAAAUAAUAAUACCGGGUUCUAUGAGUCUGGUAAUUAGAAUGAGUACAAUCUAAAUCCCUUAAAGAGGAUCCAUUGGAGGGCAAGUCUGGUGCCAGCAGCCGCGGUAAUUCCAACUCCAAUAACGUAUAUUUAAGUUGUUGCAGUUAAAAAGCUCGUAGUUGGACUUUGGGAUGUGCCAGCCGGUCCGCCUUAGAUGUGCACUGGUCGUCUUGUCCUUCUACCGGCGAUGCGCNNNNNNNNNNNNNNNNNNNNUUAGGGUGCUCAAAGAAAGCCUACGCUCUGUAUACAUUAGCAUGGGAUAACAUUAUAGGAUUUCGGUCCUGUUAUGUUGGCCUUCGCGAUCGGAGUAAUGAUUAACAGGGACAGUCGGGGGCAUUGGUAUUUCAUAGUUAGAGGUGAAAUUCUUGGAUUUAUGAUAGACGAACAACUGCGAAAGCAUUUGCCAAGGAUGUUUUCAUUAAUCAACAACGAAAGUUGGGGGCUCGAAGAUGAUCAGAUACCGUCCUAGUGUGCGUGUGUAUAUAUAUAAUAGUUAUUUUGUUAAUAUCCUAAUAUUUAGGAUUUUGAAAUCAACUAAAUUUUUAUUUAUUAUAGUAUGAAAUCUCAAUAUUUAGGACAUUUAAAUGAACUUAAAUUAUCCUUUAUAAUUCAAAAUCCUACUAUUUAGGGUCAAAUAUAAGAACUAAUUUUGACGUUGAAAUACGUUUUAGGAAUUCAAAAUUCAAGGCUUUAGUAUCUCCCCCAAGCGUUAGAUUUGCAUUCAAGGCAUUAAAGUCAAAAAUGAAGAACUGCUACUACUUGUUAAUUUGAACAAAAGAACUACUACUAUUAGUUCUUCUAUUUAUAUUUUUGGUUCAGUGCUAUUGAUUACAUGAAAGAAUUACAAGAAAAUACACAUGACUUCAUACAUAAUAAAAAAUAGUCCAUGUUUUUAAGUUUUAUUCAACCUAGUUGAUAUUGUACAUAUUUUGAAUGCAAUAGCAAAUUCAAAACUUGCGUUCUUACAACUAUUGCUUCUAAAAGCUAUGCAGUUA